GCACGGAGUUAGCCGGAGCUUACAAACAGUACCGUCAUCGUAAGAGAUAUUAACUCUUACUUAUUCUUCCCGUUCUUGCGAAGUUUACAUCCCGAAGGAUUUCAUCCUUCACGCGGCGUUGCUGGGUCAGGCUUUCGCCCAUUGCCCAAAAUUCCCGACUGCUGCCUCCCGUAGGAGUCUGACCCGUAUGUCAGUGUCAGUGUGGCCGACCGCCCUCUCAGGCCGGCUACAGAUCAUCGCCUUGGUAAGCCGUUACCUUACCAACUAGCUAAUCUGCCGCAGGCUCCUCUUCAGACGCGAGGUCUUGCGAUCCCCCGCUUUAACAACUGUCACCAUUAGGUGCCGCUGCAUUAUUCGGUAUUAGCCACCGUUUCCGGUGGUUAUUCCCAAUCCAAAGGUAGAUUACCUACGUGUUACUCACCCGUGCGCCACUCUACUCGCCCCCCGAAGGGGACUUUCGCGUUCGACUUGCAUGUCUGAGGCACGCCGCCAGCGUUGAUU
rnacentral:rRNA from 1 species